rnacentral:sRNA from 2 species
ACGUGGUGCUGUCGUCAAAUUUCAAUUUGUAAAAGACGAGAUUUACAACAGUGUAUUCUACUUCCUAUUGCUUCGAUUUACAGCCAAGCUUUGCCUCUUGUUUGGGGCAUAUUUCACCACAAAUUGCCGAAUUGAAGGUUGAUAGCUGUAGCGUGUACGGAGUAGUUAGAACCAACUGUUUUAUUGCGCAAAUAAUGUCCGAGACCUAGCAACACAAGUUGAUCCCCAGGUUAUCGAAACUGCCCGCUAACAGCCAUAGCCCCAAGCAAAUUUUCCUGUUUGUGAGAAUCGAAUUGCACUCUAGGCUACUGCUUAGUCAGUGUUUCCAAGGCCAACCCUUUGCUCUCGCUCAUCAACUCUGCGACUGAAAGUAUCGUUUUGAAUCUCUUCCUGGCCCUGGGCUGGGAGUACACUGGCAGCCUUCCCAUCAUGACCGCUCCCCAGCUGCGGCACCAAGUCAUCCGGAUUUACAAAGAGCUCCUCUUCCUUGGCCGCGAAUACCCUCUCGGCUACCAAUUCUUUCGCGAACGCUUACACCGUGCUUUUGCGAGCCAGGCUCACGUCACUGACGAGGCGAAAAUCGCAGACGGAAUACGGAGGGCGGAGUAUGUGAAGAAAGAGAUUGAGGCAUUGUGAGUUAUAUUCCUUGCUUGUGUAUUUCUACCCUUCUUUUACUGUUCUCAUAUUUUCCCACGAUGGUUGUUUGGGUUGCGAUCCGGUGAUUUUAAUCGGCAAUUGAAGAACGAGCAAAAAAUAAAUAAAUAAAAUGAAUUCCCCUGUGGCUCCCCCAUUUUAUACACACAGAAUAAUAUUUCAUUUACAGCAAAGUAUGGGACGAUAAAAAAGGAAGAGGGAGGGGAAAGAAAUGUACAGAUAUUGUUACUCCAAAAAGCCAAGUGGAAGAAAAAGGGCAACAUAUGGUCCAAAUGAAAGAGGUCGGAGAUCAAGCAGGGAAAAGGGGGGAUUUGCGGAUCCCCAAGAAGAAGCACCCUCCGAAUAGCGGCCUCUUGCUCGCACAGUUCAUGCACCAUGUUUAAAUGUUAUUUCGUCGUGCCAAAAUCCGAUAUUAUUUGUGCUGGUUUUGGUAUAUUGGCUUGCGAUGGGGCUGUGGAAAUUAUACGAAAAUAAAGGAGAAAAAUGAAACGGAGCGCUAACGAUGGUAAAAUGCAGAUAUUACUUGAGACGAUAUCGCGCCCUCAAGAAUCGAUAUGAUAUACCCAAAGUUCCUGUCGAGACAUGAGCUGGCUGACCGCAGAGAGGGAUGUAACAAAGUGGCGGGGGGAAUCGAAGGAGAGCGAGGAUGAGAGUGCCAACCAAGGCUUGUCACAGCAGGAUCCGAAAUGAGAAAAUGUUAUCCGCCGUUUCUCAAGGAUAUAAUAGCUCGCCAUCGACAUAAAAUGAAUUGGAAAAAUUGAACAAGCACAGUUAUCGCUUUUGGCCCCACCAUGCUCCGACCUCGAGACACUCGCCACUUGCCACGCCACCGUUCUGCAGCAAGUCCAUUGUCAUUCCAGUCCACCAUCGAUCCCAUUCGUCUCUGCCUUUUCCACUAACCUCCAUCAGCAUUGGCUCCAUACUCUCGAUCAUUUGAACGAUUGUAAAUAGCGCGGUCUGGCGUAUGGCAAGCUGGUCUGCUGAUAAGGUCUUGGGCUGUUUCCAGUUUUUGGAUGCGCCAUCCUGCGGCUCUCGCUCCCAUUUGACUUCUCCCAAAGGAAUUGCUAUCCUACGACUAUCCAUGCUAUUGAAGGAAUCCGACUCGGAUGUGAAGGAAAGGCCUAUCAUGGCACAUGGCAUGGGCGUUAGUCUGCGACGUUCAAAAGCCUUUUGCGCCCAGGAGUUGUAAUCGCGUAAAUAUUUGUUCUGGGCAUCUGCGAAUGGGGUAGCUGGAAAUAUGGUGUAUGUGCCUGUGGCUACCGCAUGUUCCACGUUUUCCCCCGAUAGCCCAGGUACAAGUGGCGGAUUUGGCAAAAGCGUUCUAAA